CACCCCGGACUGAGACUCGCUCUUCUCGUCCAGAAGAAUAGUUGUCUUCCUGGUUGAGACAGAGGAGAGUGGAAUUUCGUGUGUAGGGGUGAAAUCCGGAGAUCUACGAAGGAACGCCAAAAGCGAAGGCAGCUCUCUGGGUCCCUACCGACGCUGAGGUG
rfam:Nicotiana attenuata strain TT chromosome 5, whole genome shotgun sequence.